AAAUCUACCUUCGCAGUGCGUGCUUCUGCUUCAUACCUCAGUCACACGGUCACACUCUGAAAGAUCUCACAGCUAUGGCUUUGACCGCCUUACUCUACCUUCAAAAUCCUCUCUUUGUUCGCAAACCCACAAAACCCAUUACCUCUUCAACUCCAAAGUCCCAAACACAUGGAACAUUGCAAACCCAAUUCCAGAAGCGUACCAAUUGUGGUGCCAUCCAGAACCCGAAGGCCAUGGUGGCUCUAUUAGGGGCGGGUUUGGCACUGACCCUCGCGGGACCCGCCUCAUCUGCGGAGCUACCCUCUCUGCAAUUCACUGAGCCCGCCAAUGCUCUCUCCUUGCCCACCUGGGCCGUGCACGUGUCCAGUGUGGUAGAAUGGAUUGCAGCAAUGGCUUUGGUGUGGCAAUAUGGGGAGCAAUCCGGUUAUGAGUCUUGGAAAGGACUCUCCCGGGGUAUGGUACCCCUGUUAGGUGGAGCAUUUUGUGCAUGCACAUGGCAUUUCUUUUAUAACUCUGAGUCUCUUGAGGUAUUGGUGGCUCUUCAAGCAGCAUUAACAGUUAUAGGUAAUACCACGAUGUGUAUUGCUGCAUUCCGAAUAUACAAAUCAUCAGAAGAUAGCUCCAAGAAUAUCUGAAAGUUUCUGCACCUGCAUACCUAUAUAUGUGCCUUCAUAAACCUUUUCCCUGUCUUCUGCCUCCCUGUUGGAUAGGUAAUAUUAUUCUUCUUUAUGUGCCAGCAAUCUGGCUAAUAGUAAUAAUUUUUUAGAGAAAAAGGAUCAGUUUAUGGAACUACUAAAUAGUAGUUUAUCUUCUGUGAUGUUUUUAGAAAAAAAAAAGGUGUUUGUUUGAUAUUUGCAGGAAACUUCCUCAUUUAUGAUGAAGUUGAUUUUUAUGAGGCCAGUUUUUCCCAUAGUUGGAAGGAGUGUCAAGAGUCUGAUGCCAGCAUGCUUUGAACUCAUCUAAUUGUUUGAAGCUGUAACUGUGAUAAUGAAAGUUUCCCUUUGUCAAUGGAGUGGAUUGACGGACCUGAGCCCUCUACUUACGUAGACAUACUGUAAUAAUGUCUUUAAUGGGCUUCUCUCUUGUAAUGAUUUGGGACAAGAGGAAAGAACAAGCCUGAUUUGAAACAGCACUACAAGUGUUGAUAUACUGCAACUUCGUCCAUGCAUUAUCCUGAGUUGAAUGGGCAAUGCAGAAGCUAUCAUUAAACACUUGAAGAUGGGACGUCAGGUAGCCGUUUGAGGUGGCAUUCUUACAUAAUCUCUUGCAAAGAAUGGAUUGGCUUCCUUUUGUUUCAAUUUUUCCUUCAAAGAUGAUAGAAAAAAGUUGCAAAUUUUUUAGGAUGUGGGAAGGAAUCGAUUGUGGCAACUUCGGGUUGGCAUUUACUUUUUGAGAUUCGAUUACUCUGAUUUUUUGGCAGUUGCAGAUCGGUUUCCUUCUUCCAAUGUUAGGAGGCUGUUGAAUACCCCUCGUCUCCUCCUGCUUGUGUAAAUACAACCAUGUCUAUUUAAUUGUUUAAUGAAUAAAGUGAAAA